GACGAACGCUGGCGGCGUGCUUAACACAUGCAAGUCGAACGAAGUGGCGAACGGGUGAGUAACGCGUAAUCAACCUGCUCUUCAGGGGGGUACAACAGUUGGAACCGACUGCUAAUACCGCAUACUGAAGGAGGGGAUUGCGUCUUAUUAGCUAGUUGGAGGGGGAACGGCCCACCAAGGCGAUGAUCCGUAGCCGGUCUGAGAGGAUGAACGGCCACAUUGGGACUGGGGCACGGCCCAGACUCCUACGGGAGGCAGCAGUGGGGAAUCUUCCGCAAUGGACGCAAGUCUGACGGAGCAACGCCGCGGGGGUGAAGACGGCCUUCGGGUUGUAAAGCUCUGUUAAUCGGGACGCGGUACCGGAAUAGAAAGCCACGGCUAACUACGUGCCAGCCGCCGCGGUAAUAC
rnacentral:rRNA from 1 species